AGUACAAUUGCUGGGUCACAUGGUAAUUGCAUGUUUAGUUUUAUAAGAAACUGCCAAACUGUUUUCCAAAGUGGUUGUACCAUUUUAUAUUCCCACCAGCAAU
rnacentral:pre_miRNA from 1 species